CAAUGGGAUCUGUAAUAUCUUUUACGUGUGUACUCCAUAUUUUGUGGUGAUGUUCACUGGUUCUGAUGUCGCUGGUGGCUCAAAACGCUUCAACAAUGCUUAUAUCUCACAGUCAACAGGAGCCUUGAGAUCAUUGUUAAGAGAGCAUGAUGUUUGUUUCUCUAUGCCUCUUUGCCGUUCUAAGGUAGAGCAAGUCGCUCAAGAAGUUCUUAUUGAGCUCUCAGAGAUGGAGAAGCAGAAUUUC